GAGACAUAGGGGCUAUGAUAUUGGCUUGAAACCAAUUAAAGAAGGUUCGACUCCUUCCUCUCUUA
rnacentral:tRNA from 1 species